rnacentral:rRNA from 1 species
GAUGAACGCUGGCGGCGUGCUUAACACAUGUAAGUCGAACGAUGAAGCCCAGCUUGCUGGGUGGAUUAGUGGCGAACGGGUGAGUAACACGUGAGUAACCUGCCCUUAACUCUGGGAUAAGCCUGGGAAACUGGGUCUAAUACCGGAUAGGAGCGCCUACCGCAUGGUGGGUGUUGGAAAGAUUUAUCGGUUUUGGAUGGACUCGCGGCCUAUCAGCUUGUUGGUGAGGUAAUGGCUCACCAAGGCGACGACGGGUAGCCGGCCUGAGAGGGUGACCGGCCACACUGGGACUGAGACACGGCCCAGACUCCUACGGGAGGCAGCAGUGGGGAAUAUUGCACAAUGGGCGAAAGCCUGAUGCAGCGACGCCGCGUGAGGGAUGACGGCCUUCGGGUUGUAAACCUCUUUCAGUAGGGAAGAAGCGAAAGUGACGGUACCUGCAGAAGAAGCACCGGCUAACUACGUG